rnacentral:rRNA from 1 species
ACGGGGCCCGCACAAGCGGAGGAGCAUGUGGUUUAAUUCGAUGAUACGCGAGGAACCUUACCUGGGCUCGAACGUAAGAUGACUGUAGGUGAAAGCUUACAUCUCUUCGGAGCAUUUUUACGAGGUGCUGCAUGGUUGUCGUCAGCUCGUGCCGUGAGGUGUCGGGUUAAGCCCCAUAACGAGCGCAACCCUACCUUUAGUUGCCAUCAGGUAAUGCUGGGGACUCUAAAGGAACUGCCUACGCAAGUAGUGAGGAAGGCGGGGAUGACGUCAAAUCAGCACGGCCCUUACGUCCAGGGCUACACACGUGCUACAAUGGCCGAUACAGAGGGCAGCUACCUGGUGACAGGAUGCAAAUCUCCAAAGUCGGUCUCAGUUCGGAUCGGAGUCUGCAACCCGACUCCGUGAAGUUGGAUUCGCUAGUAGUCGCGCAUCAGCCAUGGCGCGGUGAAUACGUUCCCGGGCCUU